rnacentral:rRNA from 1 species
UACGUGGGGGGCAAGCGUUGUUCGGAAUUACUGGGCGUAAAGGGCUCGUAGGCGGCCAACUAAGUCAGACGUGAAAUCCCCAGGCUCAACCUGGGAACUGCGUCUGAUACUGGAUGGCUUGAAUCCGGGAGAGGGAUGCAGAAUUCCAGGUGUAGCGGUGAAAUGCGUAGAUAUCUGGAGGAAUACCGGUGGCGAAGGCGGCAUCCUGGACCGGCAUUGACGCUGAGGAGCGAAAGCCAGGGGAGCAAACGGG